CCCUUAGAUGAUUUGGGCUGCACGCGCGCUACACUGACCCUAACAAUGAGCAACUGUCUGGCCUGAGAUGGCUGGGUAGCCUUUUCAACCCACGUCAUGAUUGGGCUAGAUUUUUGUAAGUCUUGAUCUCUAACGAGGAAUCCCUAGUAUGCGUGAAUCAUCAAUCCAUGCAGAUUAUGUCCCUGCCCUUUGUACACACCGCCCGCCGCUCCUACUGAUUGGGUGAUCCGGUGAGCUGUUCGGCCAUAGCAAUGUUUCUUGAGCAGGGCAAUGAAUGUUUCGCAAACCUUGCCACUUAGAGGAAGGAGAAGUCGUAACA
rnacentral:rRNA from 1 species